rnacentral:rRNA from 1 species
CUAUCAACGCCCGGGUAUUACGAGCCUAAGCUUAAAACCCAAAGGACUUGACGGUGUCCCACCCACCUAGAGGAGCCUGUUCUAUAAUCGAUACUCCCCGCUUCACCUCACCAUUUUUAGCCUCUCAGCCUGUAUACCUCCGUCGCAAGCUUACCAUGUGAACGCUCCUAGUAAGCCCAAAGGUUAUUCCACCAAAACGUCAGGUCAAGGUGCAGCUUAUGAAAUGGGAAGCAAUGGGCUACAAUUUCUAAUGCAGAACAAACGAAAGACUACAUGAAACACAGUCAUGAAGGCGGAUUUAGUAGUAAAAAGAAAAUAGUGUGUUCUUUUUAACUAGGCACUGGGACGCGUACACACCGCCCGUCACCCUC